CCUACGGGAGGCAGCAGUGAGGAAUAUUGGUCAAUGGCCGGGAGGCUGAACCAGCCAAGUCGCGUGAGGGAAGACGGCCCUACGGGUUGUAAACCUCUUUUGUCAGGGAGCAAGGUGCAGGUCGGGACCUGCUGUUAGAGUACCUGAAGAAAAAGCAUCGGCUAACUCCGUGCCAGCAGCCGCGGUAAUACGGAGGAUGCGAGCGUUAUCCGGAUUUAUUGGGUUUAAAGGGUGCGUAGGCGGACUGUUAAGUCAGCGGUAAAAGCCCGGGGCUCAACCCCGGCGAGCCGUUGAAACGGGCUGUCUGGAGAUGUCGAGAGGUAUGCGGAAUGCGCAGUGUAGCGGUGAAAUGCUUAGAUAUUGCGCAGAACUCCGAUUGCGAAGGCAGCAUACCGGCGGCGAUCUGACGCUGAGGCACGAAAGCGUGGGUAUCGAACAGGAUUAGAUACCCGAGUAGUC
rnacentral:rRNA from 1 species